GGGAAGGUGGUACAACACCAUGGUCCCAUCAAAGGGACAUUACAGCAAAUGGAAAUACAGCCCGUCCGUUCCUGUUGUUAAAAUGACAUUUCAAGCAAUAACACUAUAAUGUGAGUGAUCUGUAAAUCAGUAUGCAAGCAUUGCUCAUGUAACACUGUGAUUAACUUCAGCUAGAAACGCAUCCCACAAUUCUUAUUCGGAUUACUCUACCAUACAUCCAUACCACCCAUUGAGAGAUAUUUGGUCAAGUAAUUCAUUCAUACAGUAAUGAUAUUUGUAGUUAUCUAUGCUCAAGCUACAAGCAUAUUACUUGCAAUUAGAGUUUGAAAAAAAAUUACUUAAGGAAGUAUUCCGGUAGCUUGCGCGGAAACAUAAAUAAUAAGCAAACCUUAGGGUGAGGUUCAAAAGGAAUCCUUAUAUGAUGGAAGAUAAUAAGUUUGUUGCCAUUUUGCUAAAAAUUUGAUCAUAAUUAUUAGAAGCAUCAUUCCAACAUCUGCACGGCAACUCCAGCAGGUAUUUGGAUAGAUUGUAGGACAACCUAGCUGGGACCAUGUACCAUCUACACAUUGCAAUUCUAGGUGUGAUGAACAAAAAGUAAGACCUAUGUGCAUUUCAUCUGUCAUGAUCAAUAACUCAGUUCUUUACGCGAAGUCUCCUUGAAACCCAAGUCCUGUGUGGACGCAUUUCUAUUU